rnacentral:rRNA from 1 species
CCUACGGGUGGCAGCAGUGGGGAAUAUUGGACAAUGGGCGAAAGCCUGAUCCAGCCAUGCCGCGUGUGUGAAGAAGGCCUUCGGGUUGUAAAGCACUUUCAGUGGGGAAGAAAGCCUUGGGGCUAAUACCCUCGAGGAAGGACAUCACCCACAGAAGAAGCACCGGCUAACUCCGUGCCAGCAGCCGCGGUAAUACGGAGGGUGCGAGCGUUAAUCGGAAUUACUGGGCGUAAAGCGCGCGUAGGCGGUCUGAUAAGCCGGUUGUGAAAGCCCCGGGCUCAACCUGGGAACGGCAUCCGGAACUGGCAGGCUAGAGUGCUGGAGAGGAAGGUAGAAUUCCCGGUGUAGCGGUGAAAUGCGUAGAGAUCGGGAGGAAUACCAGUGGCGAAGGCGGCCUUCUGGACUGACACUGACGCUGAGGUGCGAAAGCGUGGGUAGCAAACAGGAUUAGAUACCCGAGUAGUC